GUGCUCACUUUGGCAGCACAUACACUGACAUGGGAAUGACACGGAGAAGAUUAGCAGAGCCCCUGCGCAGGGAUGACAUGCAAAUUUGUGAAGGAUUCCGCCUUUUA
rnacentral:snRNA from 1 species